AUUGAACGCUGGCGGCAUGCCUUACACAUGCAAGUCGAACGGCAGCACGGGAGCAAUCCUGGUGGCGAGUGGCGAACGGGUGAGUAAUAUAUCGGAACGUGCCCAGUCGUGGGGAUAACGUAGCGAAAGCUACGCUAAUACCGCAUACGAUCUAUGGAUGAAAGCGGGGGAUCGCAAGACCUCGCGCGAUUGGAGCGGCCGAUAUCAGAUUAGGUAGUUGGUGAGGUAAAGGCUCACCAAGCCGACGAUCUGUAGCUGGUCUGAGAGGACGACCAGCCACACUGGGACUGAGACACGGCCCAGACUCCUACGGGAGGCAGCAGUGGGGAAUUUUGGACAAUGGGCGCAAGCCUGAUCCAGCAAUGCCGCGUGCAGGAUGAAGGCCUUCGGUUGUAACUAGCUUUGUUACGGUAACGAACGGUAGAG
rnacentral:rRNA from 1 species